rnacentral:misc_RNA from 1 species
AAAUCGCCAGGCGCCAUCACGCGGGCCCGCCGCGACCGUGUCGUCGAGGAGGGCGUCCAGCGAGCGUCCGAUCGCGGUCUCGACUCGCCGAAAAGAUGGUCAUGAUGGCUGGUAUGGACGACCACGAGCGCAAAGUCGUCCUCGAGUUCUGUCACCUGCUCGAGAAAAGCAAGCAGCUGUUCAACGGGCUGCGCGAGCUGCCGCAAUACGGGCACAAGCAGUGGCAGGGUUACUUCGGGCGGACCUUCGACGUCUACACGAAGCUCUGGAAGUUCCAGCAGCAGCACAGAACGAUAUUGGACACGAAGUACGGCCUUAAGAGGUGGCAGAUCGGCGAGAUCGCCAGCAAGAUCGGCCAGCUCUACUAUCAUUAUUAUCUGCGUACCAGCGAGACGAGCUACCUGCACGAGGCCUAUUCGUUCUACGCGGCGAUACGCGGUCGCGCCUAUUACAGCCGCGCCGCUAAGGAGGACAGGAGCGAUCUGAUGGUGAAGAAGCUCAGGUAUUACGCCCGCUUCAUCGGCGUCUGCCUCCUACUGAACCGUAUGAAGCUCGUGCGGGAGCUCGUGCAGGAGCUCGACGCCCAGAUAGCCGAUUACACCAGCACCUACGAGCCGGACGAUCAGCUCGAGUGGAAUCUCGUCCUCGACGAGAUUAAGGCCUUCGUCAAGGCCGAGUCCGCGAUCAAUGUACUGCAUUCCGACUCGAACCCCAUCGUGCUGACCCACAGGCUCGGUGCGCAGACCUGCCCGCCCGUCGAACGAUCGCCACCCAUGUGCCUAUCUCUCCAAGAGAUCCUAAUCGUCGGCAAUUGCGCCGAUCAGGUGAAGUUCAGUGAGUUGUCGAUGGACAUGUUCAGAAUGGUGCAAACACUCGAGCGGGAGACCAGGGACGAUCCGAACCACCUGCACGACGCCUCGCCGGCCGGCCGGAUGCCCUUCAGACCCGGACCUUAUCCCGGACCAGAGAACGGCGCGCCGAGACGCGACAAUCCGCACAAGUACAUGCUGUACAAACCGACUUACAGCCAGAUACAACUUGUCCUCGCGAGUGGCUUCAAGGAGCUACCGGCCAAUGGCGCGUUACUGCUGUACCUGUCGGCGGACGGUUGUUUCUCCACCAUCAAACAUCCCGAAGAAAUGGGGUACGACCUGGGCGGCGUGUCCACGUGCAACAAAAGGGAUCCGGAGCACGGGAAGAGGCCGGCCGGCUGCAAGGACCCGCACUGCGUCUAUCCGGGCGACCUCUACCCGUUCACCAGAAAGCCGCUCUUCGUCGUCGUCGACUCGGACAACAGCUUCGUGUUCCAGCAGAUACCGCGCUACUUCGGCCAGCCUCUGAUGGUGCUGAUGUCGCCGCAGGACGUGCCGCCGACCCUGCGCGACCUGCGACACGGUGGCGGCCUGUUCACCCUCUUUCUUCACGCCCCCCUAGCCGCCUUCUGCCUUAUAUGCAACGUCAGGAGUCUGCCUGUGCAACAUUGGGAGCGCUGCCAGCGUUACAUCGAGCGAUUCCUUAACGAGGCCAGUCAGCUCGUAACGCGUUCCCGAUGCGAGACCAGCGUGCUGCAGUUCUUCGGCGACGAUUUUCUGCGGCUGCUGCUGGUGCGCUACGUGUUCUGCGACGUGGUGCUGAAUCUGCAUCGCUCGUUCAGAACCCGUCAGCAGAGGCCGCGAUGCCAUCCGCCUCUGCCGGACGCGGAGGUCCUUGAACAUCCCACCCUUCAUCACCUGGUGCUCGAUCUGGCCGCUUGCUUGGACGCCCGCGACCACUUCCCGGACAGUAACGAGCUCGCCUGACCCCGGCAUUUACCCUGCCCGGGCCCGGACACGACCCUGUUACCAUCUCACAACCACGAUUAUGAUUACGACUACUGUAAUUACAACUGCAACAAUAAAAUCGUUACACUGAGACCUCACUAAACCGCGUCUUCGCAGUAAUCGCGUGAAAAUUCGAGAGAUUGCGGGCCGCGGGUGUGACUCAGUUCUGGGAUUCAAUGCGUGGAAGAGCUCCGUUCCUCGAAGACUCGAAACACGAUGCGACCGGUGUGGACGGACGACGGGACACUCGCCUACAUCGUCCGACUGCACUGAGAUCGCGCCGCUCUGCGACACCGAGGAUCAAAUUGACGAUCAAGCGAGUGCACUACUCUACACCGAACGCUUCGGACUGAGUAAUGUAAAGAUAAAACUACUGCUUUUGGUUCUUCAAGAGUUAUACACUUGAUGAAAAAUGCGUUUGAAUGCUUGAACUGUAACAUAGGUAUAUAUGGAGUGGCAAUAUAAUUUUCGUACGAAUAA